GAUUAAUUAAUUAUUAUAUAUUUUUAUUUUAAUAAAAAUAAUUUUAUUAAUAAGUUUUUUUAGUAAAGAUUAUAGAAAAAAUUUUUUUAAUUAUAGUUAAUUAGUAUUGUAUAAGAAAUUUGAAAUAUAUAUUAAUUUUUUAUAAGUAAAAUUAAUUUUUUGUACCUUGUGUAUCAGGGUUUAUUAAAAAAAUAUAAUAUAUUUUUAUUUUCCCGAUUUUAAGAGAGAUAAUAAGUAAUAUUUUUUAUUGUUUAAAAAAUAUUUAUAAUUAUUUAUUAGUAAUGAAAAGUUAUUCGGUCUUAAAGAUAUCUGGUUUAUUCAGAAAUGAAUUCAAUUCAGUUAAUUUAAUUUUUUUAAUUAAUUUGUUUUAAUUAAAAGAAAUAAUUAAUAAUAGUUAAAGGGAUUAGCUUUUAAUUAAAUUUCUAUAAUAAUAUAAUUUUGUUAAAAAUUUAUAGGUUUAGAAAUAUUCUUUAUUUAUAAUUUGUUAUAAUUAAUUUUUGCUUAUUUAUUAUUUUAUAUAUAUUUAGUUUUUUAUGAAUAAAUUUUAUUUAAUUAAAUUUUAUUAGAUAUAAUGAUAAAAUUAGUAUAUUUUUAAAUGUUUUAAUAAUUACUUUUAAAAGAUUAUAUAAAGGAAUUCGGCAAAAACUUUAUUCGCCUGUUUAACAAAAACAUGUCCUUUAGAUUAUAUAAUUUAAGGUCUAACCUGCCCACUGAAAUUUUUAAAUGGCCGCAGUAUUUUGACUGUGCAAAGGUAGCAUAAUCAUUAGUUUUUUAAUUAAAAGCUUGUAUGAAUGGUUGGACGAAAUAAAAUCUGUCUCUAUAUAAUAAAUAGAAUUUAAUUUUUAAGUUAAAAAGCUUAAAUAAAAAUAAAAGACGAGAAGACCCUAUAGAUCUUUAUAAUAAAUUUUUUAGUAUUAUUUAUGAUUUAUUUAUUUAUUAAAAUUUUUAUUAUUUUAUUGGGGUAAUAGGAAGAUUAAUAUAAUUCUUUUUAAUUUUUUACAAAAAUUAUUGUUUAUUUGAUCCUUGUUAUAGAUUAUAAGAUUAAGUUACCUUAGGGAUAACAGCGUAAUUUUUUUAGAGAGUUCAUAUCGAUAAAAAAGUUUGCGACCUCGAUGUUGGAUUAAAAAUUAUUUUGGGUGUAGAAGUUCAAAUUUUUGGUCUGUUCGACCAUUAAAUUUUUACAUGAUCUGAGUUCAGACCGGCGUAAGCCAGGUCGGUUUCUAUCUUUAUUUAAUUAAUAUAUUUUAGUACGAAAGGACCAAAUAUAAAAUAUAUAAAUAUUUUUGUUUUGAUUUAUAUU
rnacentral:rRNA from 1 species